rnacentral:rRNA from 1 species
UACGGAGGGUGCGAGCGUUGUCCGGAAUUACUGGGCGUAAAGAGCUCGUAGGUGGUUUGUCGCGUUGUUCGUGAAAUCUCACGGCUUAACUGUGAGCGUGCGGGCGAUACGGGCAGACUGGAGUUCGGCAGGGGAGACUGGAAUUCCUGGUGUAGCGGUGAAAUGCGCAGAUAUCAGGAGGAACACCGGUGGCGAAGGCGGGUCUCUGGGCCGAUACUGACGCUGAGGAGCGAAAGCGUGGGGAGCGAACAGG